GAUGAAGAACGUAGCGAAAUGCGAUACGUAAUGUGAAUUGCAGAAUUCAGUGAAUCAUCGAAUCUUUGAACGCAUAUUGCGCUCUUUGGUAUUCCGAAGAGCAUGCUUGUUUGAGUAUCAGUAAACACCUCAAAGCUUUUGGAUUUUUUAAUCGAAAAGCUUUGGACUUGAGCAAUCCCAACACCAAUCUUUUUGAGAUCGGUGGCGGGUUGCUUGAAAUGCAGGUGCAGCUGGACAUUCUCCUGAGCUAAAAGCAUAUUCAUUUAGUCCCGUCAAACGGAUUAUUACUUUUGCUGCAGCUAACAUAAAGGGAGUUUGACCGUAUUGGCUGACUGAUGCAGGAUUUCACAAGGGUCGGCAACGAUUCUUGCUAAACUCGAUCUCAAAUCAAGUAAGACUACCCGCUGAACUUAAGCAUAUCAAUAAGCGGAGGA
rnacentral:misc_RNA from 1 species